rnacentral:rRNA from 1 species
UGGGGAAUUUUGCGCAAUGGGGGAAACCCUGACGCAGCAACGCCGCGUGGAGGAUGAAGUCCUUCGGGACGUAAACUCCCUUCGAUCGGGACGAUAAUGACGGUACCGGAAGAAGAAGCCCCGGCUAACUUCGUGCCAGCAGCCGCGGUAAUACGAGGGGGGCGAGCGUUGUUCGGAAUUAUUGGGCGUAAAGGGUGCGUAGGCGGUUUGGUGAGUCUUAUGUGAAAUCUAUGGGCUCAACUCAUAGACUGCAUGAGAAACUGCCGGGCUUGAGUGUGGGAGAGGUGAGUGGAAUUUCCGGUGUAGCGGUGAAAUGCGUAGAUAUCGGAAGGAACACCUGUGGCGAAAGCGGCUCACUGGACCACAACUGACGCUGAUGCACGAAAGCUAGGGGAGCAAACAGGAUUAGAUACCCUGGUAGUCCUAGCCCUAAACGAUGACUGCUUGGUGUGACGGGUACCCAAUCCCGCCGUGCCGUAGCUGACGCGUUAAGCAGUCCGCCUGGGGAGUACGGUCGCAAGGCUG